UACGUAGGGUCCGAGCGUUGUCCGGAAUUACUGGGCGUAAAGGGCUCGUAGGCGGCCAACUAAGUCAGACGUGAAAUCCCUCGGCUUAACCGGGGAACUGCGUCUGAUACUGGAUGGCUAGAGAUUGGGAGAGGGAUGCGGAAUUCCAGGUGUAGCGGUGAAAUGCGUAGAUAUCUGGAGGAACACCGGUGGCGAAGGCGGCAUCCUGGACCAACACUGACGCUGAGGAGCGAAAGCCAGGGGAGCAAACGGG
rnacentral:rRNA from 1 species